rnacentral:tRNA from 1 species
GAAAUAUUUGAUAUAAAGCUUCUAACUUUAUGAAAGAUUUAAAAAUCUAUAUUUCU